AGAGUUUGAUUAUGGCUCAGGAUGAACGCUGGCGGCGUGCUUAACACAUGCAAGUCGAACGGAGUAUAUUAAAAGCUUGCUUUGUUUAUACUUAGUGGCGGACGGGUGAGUAACGCGUGGGUAACCUGCCUUAUACCGGGGGACAACAGUUGGAAACGACUGCUAAUACCGCAUAAGCGCACAGUCUCGCAUGAGACAGUGUGAAAAAACUCCGGUGGUAUAAGAUGGACCCGCGUCUGAUUAGCCAGUUGGCGGUGUAACGGACCACCAAAGCGACGAUCAGUAGCCGGCCUGAGAGGGUGAACGGCCACAUUGGGACUGAGACACGGCCCAAACUCCUACGGGAGGCAGCAGUGGGGAAUAUUGCACAAUGGAGGAAACUCUGAUGCAAGCGACGCCGCGUGAGUGAAGAAGUAUUUCGGUAUGUAAAGCUCUAUCAGCAGGAAAGAAAAUGACGGUACCUGACUAAGAAGCCCCGGCUAACUACGUGCCAGCCGCUGC
rnacentral:rRNA from 1 species